AGGUUUAAGGAUACUGAGAAUUAUGGGAAUGGAAACACGGUAUAUAAGUAAGCUUUGACCGGAGUGGAACCGAGAUUGAGUAUUGAAGUAUGAAAACUGGAAAAUUGUAGUAAGUCUGACGGGUGCAUUAGUACAGAUGAUAGGGUCAUGAGAAUGGCACAUAGUAUAAUUGGAGUGUGGUAUAACAGUAAUAUCCAACCGGCACGGGUGUAUUGUGUGGACCUAAUUACAAGGAGCACCUUAAUUCAAAUAAGACUUAUCAGAAGUCGGUGAAUCAAACUCUUUCAAAUCCGUCUAACCUUCAUUUCAGCUCAGUAGUUUUCCCCUAGUGACAUAGGUCAACUAAUUACACUAUCGGAGAAAGAUAAAUUAGACUUCAUGCAAUCCCUUAGUUCUUAAUAUCAGCCUGUCGUACCAUUUUCGUAGAAUAAGAACACUAAUCGUUCCCAGCAAGAUAAGUUCAGCCUCUCAGUUCAUAACUAGUAUCCUAGUCAGACACAUAACAAGCAAAUUUUGUUUGAGUAAUGGCUGGAAUUAAUUCUAAUACUAUCAGUUACCUAAGCCGGCAUAUUAAGUGUCAUUAUCAUUGAUUCAAGAACAAGUAAUGCAGUUUUGUACUAGCAUCAAGAAUUCACUGAACAACUUUCUGUAUUCAAACCUCUCAACUAAUAACUCAACAUACUCGGUUAAACCUUUUGUGAGAGUUUAUCAGCUAAGUUCUAAUGAGAAUCAGGUCUGUCUCAAUUCCAGAGAUUAGUCGGUUAAGAGAAAUCAUGAAGUAUGAACAUAAUGCAAUAGAAUUAUGAUCUUCAGUUACCUACCCUUUCACUUGAACUCUAAUUCUGCUAAAUUUAUCAAAUUGAUGCGAUGGAUGAUCCAUAAUCAGCAAGCCUUAUUAAGUUAUGAACAUUACGUUCCCCAUGCCUAUUUAAUCAUGAUAAGAGGGAGAUAAAUUCUUCCGGUACAUUGAGACCUAUUACUUACAUUUAAUGCAAGAAUUCAAUUAAGUUAUGUACCAUUGUACCUUAUAAUUCCUCAGUAUCAGCGAAUUGGAUUCAUGUAUAGAGUGUUAUCCUUAUGUAACUUUGACGAAGUGUCUUCAGCUUUCCAACUUUGUUAUUAUAACUUAGUUCGGGCCUAUGUAAGUUUGAGUUGCUUGUUAAGAGUAAUGAGCCGUGUUUCGUUAAGGACUAUCAGUUAUUCAUGUCGACCUUAAGAACAGUAACAUUAUGUUUAUCACCAAGAAAUUCUCCAAUCUUUUAGCAUCAUUACCGAGGACCGGUUCAGAAUCACAGAAGUCAAAUUAGCAAUUAAGGAUCCCUAGAAAUUAAGUUCAAACUCUCGCUCGUCUUGUUAACCUGUCAAGCAGCAUGGUUAAGGUACCACGAACGUUGGAAACGUUACUGUAAUCAAUUAAGUUCAUCUUUCUUUAUAAGGUCUUACCAUUUCAAUUUGGAUAAAAAUCCAAAACCAUCCAGAGAUAUAAGAGGUAACCUCGAUGAACAUCGAUGGAAUGAGAUAAUAGUAAGUGAUAAAAAGUGAAGUGUUGCAGACAUGUUAGAUGGUUGUAAAGUAUUAUGUAUACAGUGGUGCGCCUGUCGUCACAAAACGAUGCAAGUGUUGUUUUGUGAUAUCUAUGGUACGAGAAGUAAUAAUAAAAGCAAUAACACCGAAUAAGAUGAGACGAUGUGUGACAAUGUCAGGGAAUUUGUAGACGAAGACUGUAAUGACGCGUAGAGAGAAUGCCAGUAAGUAGUCGAAUCAGAGUGCGCAGCCGGGAAGUGGUUGAGAAUGUAGUUAGUAGAUUGACUUGUAGUUCAACAACUCUUUGAGAGAGGAAAAUUUUAUUCCAAAGAAUUGAAAGUGGGGAACCAUAAAAUGAUUAAAGAUCGUAUGACGAGUAAGUUACGCAAAUGUUCAUGUUUGGACCUGAGAUUGUAAGUAUAGAAUAACCUUGAGAGCCAAGUUUGUGAUGGUAAAACGAUUCAUUUGAGAAGUUUGAUGUGGUGAACUAGUAAGAUUAAGUAUGCUCCGGCGUUGAAUUGAAAAGUGCAAAAGGAGAAAAGUUGCUCCGUGAGCGUUUAAGCUGAGGAAAAGUAACAGAGGGAGCUAAUAUAAGAUGAGUAUGUAUCUAAAAGUUGUAUUAUGUGCUGAGAUUAUGAGUUCAACUUCAUGGAAUAAACGAGUAGGAUUUCCAAAAGUAUCAUAAGUGAACGCCAACGCAGUGAAGAAUGACAAUUACUAACCUUGAACGAUAAAUCAUGAUCAAUUAAGAAACGAAAUC
rnacentral:lncRNA from 1 species